AGACUGCCGGUGAGUAAAUCGGAGAAGGUGGGGACGACGUCAAAUCAUCAUGCCCUUUAUGUCCUGGGCUACACACGUACUACAAUGGCCGUUACAACGGGAAGCGAAGGAGCAAUCCGGAGCAAAUCCCUUAAAGGCGGUCCCAGUUCAGAUUGUGGGCUGAAACUCGCCCACAUGAAGGCGGAAUUGCUAGUAAUUGCAGAUCAGCAUGCUGCAGUGAAUACGUUCCCGGGCCUU
rnacentral:rRNA from 1 species